rnacentral:tRNA from 1 species
UACGAUCUGUUAUAUAAAUAGGUAAAAUAGUAUGGCCGAUCAUUGUAGGUAUAAAGCUUAUUUAUUUUUUUUAUA